rnacentral:rRNA from 1 species
UAGGGAAUCUUCCACAAUGGACGAAAGUCUGAUGGAGCAACGCCGCGUGAGUGAAGAAGGUUUUCGGAUCGUAAAGCUCUGUUGUUGGUGAAGAAGGAUAGAGGCAGUAACUGGUCUUUAUUUGACGGUAAUCAACCAGAAAGUCACGGCUAACUACGUGCCAGCAGCCGCGGUAAUACGUAGGUGGCAAGCGUUGUCCGGAUUUAUUGGGCGUAAAGCGAGCGCAGGCGGAAUGAUAAGUCUGAUGUGAAAGCCCACGGCUCAACCGUGGAACUGCAUCGGAAACUGUCAUUCUUGAGUGCAGAAGAGGAAAGUGGAACUCCAUGUGUAGCGGUGGAAUGCGUAGAUAUAUGGAAGAACACCAGUGGCGAAGGCGGCUCUCUGGUCUGCAACUGACGCUGAGGCUCGAAAGCAUGGGUAGCGAACAGGAUUAGAUACCCUGGUAGUCCAUGCCGUAAACGAUGAGCGCUAGGUGUUGGGGACUUUCCGGUCCUCAGUGCCGCAGCA